rnacentral:lncRNA from 1 species
CACGUCGACUCCAGAAUCUCAGGUAUGAAAAACAAGCUCACGGAAACUGUGGCUGCCGUAGCAGAUACGUACAAGGGCGUUUUACCAGUAGAAGAGUAGGAUUAUAUGUUAUGGCUGCAAGGGACAAUGCUUUUUUUUGGCCUGUAUCAAAUUUCUGGUCGGAUAAGAUGUACUCUUUGCAAUCUUUUGCGGUCCUUGUACCAACGAUAAAUUCCAUGUUAAGUUGAUGAAAACACAAUGAAUGUACAUAUAAUUAAGAAGUCACCUUCAGUAAUGCAAGCAAGCGCCUUUACAUGAGAUGUGUUUGGGACAA